rnacentral:rRNA from 1 species
GAGACAGCAGCCGCCGCGGGAAUACAGAGGGUGCAAGCGUUACUCGGAAUUACUGGGCGUAAAGCGUGCGUAGGUGGUGGUUUAAGUCCGUUGUGAAAGCCCUGGGCUCAACCUGGGAAUUGCAGUGGAUACUGGGUCACUAGAGUGUGGUAGAGGAUAGUGGAAUUUCCGGUGUAGCAGUGAAAUGCGUAGAGAUCGGAAGGAACAUCUGUGGCGAAGGCGACUAUCUGGGCCAACACUGACACUGAGGCACGAAAGCGUGGGGAGCAAACAGGAUUAGAUACCCGGGUAGUCCCUGUCUCUUAUAC